rnacentral:rRNA from 1 species
AACGAACGCUGGCGGCAGGCUUAACACAUGCAAGUCGAACGCCCCGCAAGGGGGAGUGGCAGACGGGUGAGUAACACGUGGGAACGUGCCCUUCGCUUCGGGAUAGCCUCGGGAAACUGGGAGUAAUACCGAAUACGCCGUAUUGGGAAAGAUAUAUCGGCGAAGGAUCGGCCCGCGUUGGAUUAGCUAGUUGGCGGUGUAAUGGACCACCAAGGCUACGAUCCAUAGCUGGUCUGAGAGGACGACCAGCCACACUGGGACUGAGACACGGCCCAGACUCCUACGGGAGGCAGCAGUGGGGAAUCUUGGACAAUGGGCGCAAGCCUGAUCCAGCCAUGCCGCGUGAGUGAAGAAGGCCUUAGGGUUGUAAAACUCUUUCGCCGGUGAAGAUAAUGACGGUAACCGGAGAAGAAGCCCCGGCUAACUUCGUGCCAGCAGCCGCGGUAAU